rnacentral:lncRNA from 1 species
AAAAAGAUUGAAAAACAGUUUAUAUAGUUUCAGAAAAACAACUACUAAAUCGAUUUAUCAAUCGAUUUAUUAAAGUUAUAAAACAUGUGUAAUCGAUUUGCCAAUCGAUUAUCGCGAGUCUUGUUUUUCUUUAAUCUUGAAACUAUAUAAGCUAAUCGAUUUACCAAUCGAUUCUUUUAAAGCACUUUUCAGAAUAAAUCGAUUUACAAAUACGCCUAAUCGAUUUGGCCACAAACUGGGAGUUCCCUGUGAUAUCAAAACAUUUGUUUUAAUCGAUUCCCCAAUCGAUUGUGUUUCAAAUAGUUCUUUCAAUCGAUUUGCCAAUCGAUUGUGUUUAAGUCAGUGACUCAGCUAUUUUGAAGUUAGUCGAUGUGCCAGUCGAUUUGGUAU